GCCUGGGUGGCACAGCGGUUGAGCGUCUGCCUUCGGCUCAGGGCGUGGGAUCGAGCCCCACAUCAGGCU
rnacentral:tRNA from 1 species